AACAACCAAUUUUUUCUCCGACAGUCAGAGUGACCAACUAUGAAAAAAAAAAUGUCAAAUCGUUAUUUUACUAUAGAUACUAUAGAUAUCUGAUCCUAAUCUACAUAAUUUGAAGUUGAAAGUUUUACUAGUUUUAGUACACGUUUUAGUUUUAAGUGUUUUAACUGUUUGAAGCACGACAAGAUAUAUAUUUUGUCAUGGUUUGAAGCUUCUGAAGUUGUUUUUUCUUUUCUAAGACUAAAUUACCAUGCGCAAUAUUGUAGCUGCCUCAGGAUUCGAUUGGAAUAAAUGGAAAGGUUGAUUCUACUGCAUUUAUUAACCCCCUUUCAUAAUCAGAUAUGAUUGUUAACCGGGCAUAAUUCAAUGGCAAAACCUCACGAACAAUCCUCAAGAAUGACUCGUAUGUAGCUUGAGUCAUUCGGGAAGUCAGCCCAUAAACCAUCGGAAAAGACUUAAAUAGAAAAUACAGUCAAUACUUCAAUAGAACCACUUGAAAUGUUAAUAAACAGCCUUUGGUUAGCUGUGGUGGACUUUUUGGUACCGUUUUAAAUGUGCCGUCAAUUCCUGCAAAGGUUACAGUUAGCAGUUCUUCUCUAUAUUUUUGAAUCGCAUCUAAAUUUGAGAAUAUGACGCCAACCCGUUCGCCUUCUACCAUAAACGACGGAUUCUGCAUUGUUGUUCCAUACGCUGAGUUUUGAUGCUGGCUUAAGGUAUCAAUCAGUUCUUCGACUGUAGAUGGAUUGUUGGGAUGACGGCGCCGACGCAUUUUUUUUACACACAUUUGUGAUUGUAAAUAGGUGUAGUUUGUUGCACCUUCUGGAUUUCUAAGGCAGUUUUGUUCCAGUUAUACCAAUAGCUCUUCUUAAAUGAACCAUAGGAACAUCAACUAACCUAGGUGCAUGGUAGUGCAAUCCUAAUACUGUUAUUGCAUUGUCAUUUAUAUUUGUAUUCACAUACGCAGUGACAGGACAAAAUGCUGUUCGAUUUUUUUGAUUUUCGCAGACUAGGUAUCUAAAUAAGUUAUAAAUUAAGAUUUUAGUAGCCAGCUAAACAAACCAAAUCCUAA